rnacentral:misc_RNA from 1 species
GAAAGUUGUUUGGACUUUUGUUGGGUUUAGGUAUGGAUCCCAAGGAUAGAUAUGUCUUAGUGCUUGACUUGUGCAACGUUUGAACCCUUGGAUGUGGACAGUUGGCUCAACAAACUGCAGAUAUCAUGUAUGAGUGCAUAUAUACAUUGAGAAAGGUAAUAUUAGGAUAUGGGAAUUGGGAAGCAAUUUACCCAAUACUUUCAGCACUAGCUCUGGCUAAUCAUAAAUGCAUUAAGAAAAGUUCCGCUACCAUCAGAUUAAAAGCCCAUUACAAUUCUAAAACUUUGAAAUGGAGAGGCCCAUCGCGUGAUCAAACCAGAACUCCGUUAAGACCAAAUUAAAGCCCAACUUCAAAAGAAACAUUCUGAGUCCUAAUUAAUCCUGGGCCCAAAGGUCAAUGAGAUGGGAGAGAAGGGCGAAUCGGAUGUUGGUGAGGGAGUGAUGCAUAAACUAGUAGGAGAGCAAGAU